ACGUAUCCACCAUAACCGGUAAUCUACUGAUAGGCUGCUCCGUCACCCAGCAAUCCUUCAACACAUCAAUGGACCGACCAUCACCAAUGGCCCAUCUAAUCGCGGGAAACACCAACCCUGCUCUAGCACAAAUCUCCCUCCAGACUGGUGAAUGACGACGUCCAGCACGGGCCCCAGACACUAGGACGCCAUACUUGGCCCUCAUCAGUGAGGACCACAUGCCACUAGGCUCCAACACAACUCUAGCGGAUGCCGUGCCGCUAGGACCUCCUGUCUCGCCACCAAGGACUACACCCCCAAACCACCAUAUCUCGUUGGUUGACAUACAACCUCCCAUGCCAUAAGAGGGAUGCCUCCCCUACCUUUGUUCCUCCCC
rnacentral:lncRNA from 1 species